rnacentral:rRNA from 1 species
GUGUCAGCAGCCGCGGUAAUACGUAGGUGGCAAGCGUUGUCCGGAUUUAUUGGGUUUAAAGGGUGCGUAGGCGGCCCUAUAAGUCAGUGCUGAAAUAUCCCGGCUUAACCGGGAGGGUGGCAUUGAUACUGUAGGGCUUGAGUGUAGUCGAGGUAGGCGGAAUUGACGGUGUAGCGGUGAAAUGCUUAGAUAUCGUCAAGAACACCGAUAGUGUAGACAGCUUACUAGGCUACAACUGACGCUGAGGCACGAAAGUGUGGGGAUCAAACAGGAUUAGAAACCCCUGUAGUCC